rnacentral:rRNA from 1 species
GACGAACCGUGCGAACGUUAUUCGGAAUCACUGGGCUUAAAGCGCGUGUAGGCGGGUGGGAACGUCGGCCGCUGAAAUCCCCCGGCUCAACCGGGGAAGUGGCGCCGAAACGGCCCGCCUGGAGGAACGUAGGGGGAGCUGGAACUUCCGGUGGAGCGGUGAAAUGCGUUGAGAUCGGGAAGGAACGCCCGUGGCGAAAGCGAGCUCCUGGACGUUUUCUGACGCUGAGACGCGAAAGCCAGGGGAGCGAACGGG